rnacentral:lncRNA from 1 species
AUUACCAAGUUAAUUAUAGGAAAGCCUUACUGCUGGCAUUAGUUCUCAGAGAACAGACUGGGCCUUAGGAAGCAGCUUCUGAGUCCGAGGAAGUCUACUCCAGACUGGUUUUCACAUCUAUACUGAAGUGAAGUGAAGGUAAAUUGUUUUCAGUUCUCUGUACAAGAACUGAACAUGCUCUAGGCUACUGUCUUGC